rnacentral:rRNA from 1 species
UAAGCGACUAAGCGUACACGGUGGAUGCCCUGGCAGUCAGAGGCGAUGAAGGACGUGCUAAUCUGCGAUAAGCGUCGGUAAGGUGAUAUGAACCGUUAUAACCGGCGAUUUCCGAAUGGGGAAACCCAGUGUGAUUCGUCACACUAUCAUUACGUGAAUACAUAGCGUAAUGAAGCGAACCGGGGGAACUGAAACAUCUAAGUACCCCGAGGAAAAGAAAUCAACCGAGAUUCCCCCAGUAGCGGCGAGCGAACGGGGAGCAGCCCAGAGUCUGAAUCAGCUUGUGUGUUAGUGGAACGGUCUGGAAAGUCCGACGGUACAGGGUGAUAGUCCCGUACACCAAAAUGCACAGGCUGUGAACUCGAAGAGUAGGGCGGGACACGUGGUAUCCUGUCUGAAUAUGGGGGGACCAUCCUCCAAGGCUAAAUACUCCUGACUGACCGAUAGUGAACCAGUACCGUGAGGGAAAGGCGAAAAGAACCCCGGCGAGGGGAGUGAAAAAGAACCUGAAACCGUGUACGUACAAGCAGUGGGAGCCUCUUUAUGGGGUGACUGCGUACCUUUUGUAUAAUGGGUCAGCGACUUAUAUUCUGUAGCAAGGUUAACCGAAUAGGGGAGCCGAAGGGAAACCGAGUCUUAACUGGGCGUUAAGUUGCAGGGUAUAGACCCGAAACCCGGUGAUCUAGCCAUGGGCAGGUUGAAGGUUGGGUAACACUAACUGGAGGACCGAACCGACUAAUGUUGAAAAAUUAGCGGAUGACUUGUGGCUGGGGGUGAAAGGCCAAUCAAACCGGGAGAUAGCUGGUUCUCCCCGAAAGCUAUUUAGGUAGCGCCUCGUGAAUUCAUCUUCGGGGGUAGAGCACUGUUUCGGCUAGGGGGUCAUCCCGACUUACCAACCCGAUGCAAACUGCGAAUACCGAAGAAUGUUAUCACGGGAGACACACGGCGGGUGCUAACGUCCGUCGUGAAGAGGGAAACAACCCAGACCGCCAGCUAAGGUCCCAAAGUCACAGUUAAGUGGGAAACGAUGUGGGAAGGCACAGACAGCCAGGAUGUUGGCUUAGAAGCAGCCAUCAUUUAAAGAAAGCGUAAUAGCUCACUGGUCGAGUCGGCCUGCGCGGAAGAUGUAACGGGGCUAAACUGUGCACCGAAGCUGCGGCAGCGACACUAUGUGUUGUUGGGUAGGGGAGCGUUCUGUAAGCCGUUGAAGGUGUGUCGUGAGGCAUGCUGGAGGUAUCAGAAGUGCGAAUGCUGACAUAAGUAACGAUAAUGCGGGUGAAAAACCCGCACGCCGGAAGACCAAGGGUUCCUGUCCAACGUUAAUCGGGGCAGGGUGAGUCGACCCCUAAGGCGAGGCCGAAAGGCGUAGUCGAUGGGAAACAGGUUAAUAUUCCUGUACUUGGUGUUACUGCGAAGGGGGACGGAGAAGGCUAUGUUAGCCGGGCGACGGUUGUCCCGGUUUAAGCAUGUAGGCGGAGGUUCCAGGUAAAUCCGGUACCUUUUUAACGCUGAGGUGUGAUGACGAGGCACUACGGUGCUGAAGUAACAAAUGCCCUGCUUCCAGGAAAAGCCUCUAAGCAUCAGGUAACACGAAAUCGUACCCCAAACCGACACAGGUGGUCAGGUAGAGAAUACCAAGGCGCUUGAGAGAACUCGGGUGAAGGAACUAGGCAAAAUGGUGCCGUAACUUCGGGAGAAGGCACGCUGAUAUGUAGGUGAAGUGAUUUACUCAUGGAGCUGAAAUCAGUCGAAGAUACCAGCUGGCUGCAACUGUUUAUUAAAAACACAGCACUGUGCAAACACGAAAGUGGACGUAUACGGUGUGACGCCUGCCCGGUGCCGGAAGGUUAAUUGAUGGGGUUAUCCGUAAGGAGAAGCUCUUGAUCGAAGCCCCGGUAAACGGCGGCCGUAACUAUAACGGUCCUAAGGUAGCGAAAUUCCUUGUCGGGUAAGUUCCGACCUGCACGAAUGGCGUAAUGAUGGCCAGGCUGUCUCCACCCGAGACUCAGUGAAAUUGAACUCGCUGUGAAGAUGCAGUGUACCCGCGGCAAGACGGAAAGACCCCGUGAACCUUUACUGUAGCUUGACACUGAACACUGGUCCUUGAUGUGUAGGAUAGGUGGGAGGCUUUGAAGUGUGGACGCCAGUCUGCAUGGAGCCAACCUUGAAAUACCACCCUUUAAUGGCUGGUGUUCUAACGUGGACCCGUAAUCCGGGUUGCGGACAGUGUCUGGUGGGUAGUUUGACUGGGGCGGUCUCCUCCUAAAGAGUAACGGAGGAGCACGAAGGUUAGCUAAUCCUGGUCGGACAUCAGGAGGUUAGUGCAAAGGCAUAAGCUAGCUUGACUGCGAGAGUGACGGCUCGAGCAGGUGCGAAAGCAGGUCUUAGUGAUCCGGUGGUUCUGAAUGGAAGGGCCAUCGCUCAACGGAUAAAAGGUACUCCGGGGAUAACAGGCUGAUACCGCCCAAGAGUUCAUAUCGACGGCGGUGUUUGGCACCUCGAUGUCGGCUCAUCACAUCCUGGGGCUGAAGUAGGUCCCAAGGGUAUGGCUGUUCGCCAUUUAAAGUGGUACGCGAGCUGGGUUUAGAACGUCGUGAGACAGUUCGGUCCCUAUCUGCCGUGGGCGCUGGAGAAUUGAGGGGGCUGCUCCUAGUACGAGAGGACCGGAGUGGACGCAUCACUGGUGUUCGGGUUGUCAUGCCAAUGGCAUUGCCCGGUAGCUAAAUGCGGAAGAGAUAAGUGCUGAAAGCAUCUAAGCACGAAACUUGCCCCGAGAUGAGUUCUCCCUGAGACUAUAAGUCUCCUGAAGGAACGUUGAAGACGACGACGUUGAUAGGUCGGGUGUGUAAGCAUAGCGAUACGUUGAGCUAACCGAUACUAAUGAACCGUGAGGCUUAACCU